rnacentral:lncRNA from 1 species
CUGUUUGUUUUGAUUUCCCGUCUUUGUGUGGUGUGUUUUUGAUUUCCCGUCUUAGUGCGGUGUUUAUUUGAUUCAGGUUGAAAGAUUAGCUUUGAACAAGAGCAGAUCCGAUCAAUGACAAUGACUUUGGCGUCGUCAACGUUGCAGAUCCGGAGACAUGAGGAUUCAGGAGACUUGAAUAUAGUCAUAUUAGUCAUAUUUGUAGGCAU